rnacentral:rRNA from 1 species
AAGCGUGCGCAGGCGGUUUUGUAAGACUGUCGUGAAAUCCCCGGGCUCAACCUGGGAAUGGCGAUGGUGACUGCAAGGCUAGAGUUUGGCAGAGGGGGGUAGAAUUCCACGUGUAGCAGUGAAAUGCGUAGAUAUGUGGAGGAACACCGAUGGCGAAGGCAGCCCCCUGGGUCAAAACUGACGCUCAUGCACGAAAGCGUGGGGAGCAAACAGGAUUAGAUACCCGUAGU